GUUCUGAUUGGACAGCGGGGAAAGGCGCUGCAUUCCAGCGCACAUGGCCCUGAGGGCGUGAGCCCACAGCGCGAGGCACGGUGCCGGGGGAGUGCAGACCACAGGGGCUGCUGGAGCCACACAUCUGGCUCCGUGGGGACGGCCUGCGUCGAGGGCCUCCGUGCCGAGGGCCCUGUACCCUCUGCUUCCCCUGCCCAGCUCCUCAGCUGCGCCUCCUGAAGCAGACGCCAUUACCAGAGAGGGAUUUACUUCAGCCUGAACGGGGCACGGAAGGGUGGGAGGCAGAAGGGCCGCGCCGUACUCAGGCAGGCAGGAAGCGGUGUGACCCCUCGCGCUUGUCGGAGCCUCUUCUCCAUCUCCCUGGAAGAACGGAGGCAGCGUGUGCCUGUGCACCAACCACAGCGCGCUCCGGCUUUGUCUAGACUUCUCAGCAUUUUAACUCACGUUAAUUGCUCCCCAAUUAGCCGGAGCUCGCAAACACAUUUGUAAACACCAGUCUAGACGCUCUACAAACAUUUGUUCUAAGGCACGUAUGUAAAAUAGUUAAGUGGAUGCUGAGGCAAUUAGGUGUAAUCUUAUUACUACCCUUUCUCGCAUCUCCUUUUCACCCUCUGCUGAAGCGGAGACCCGAGCUCCGUACUAGCAGGACUUUUUUUUUUUUCAAAAGGCACUACAAAGGUAAACCUUAGGGCUAUCGCAUGCGAAGCCCUGAUAAGGUGCUAUUAGUUCCCAGUCAACUUCCAAAGACAGAGUGCAGCGCGGUUUUAUAGCUGCAGACAUCCAGUGCACACAGAAUCCAGAAGAUCUUCAACGUUGAUAUGCUGUGCUGCACAGACCAGAUUUGGUGAUCAGAAAUCAUUUAAUCCAUAUUCAGUUAUUCAGCGCUGAGGGCAGGCACAGCAGCUUGAGGAUGGUAUGCUUCUGUGGGCCAUGCACCAGGACAGCUCAAGACCUUGGACAGACGACACUUCCUUAGUGUCCCACGUUGCCUGGGCAGGACGCGGUGACCUAUCCUGACCCCAUGCACACAGAGGGCCAUGGUGCUGCAGUCAGUGUGGAUGCACGUUCAAAGGAAGACAAUGUUCAGUGUAAUAAAUAAUUUUAGAAAAUGCAAAGGCCAACCUUGUGAAAGAGGU